UACGUAGGUGGCAAGCGUUGUCCGGAUUUACUGGGUGUAAAGGGCGUGUAGCCGGGCUGACAAGGCAGAUGUGAAAUCCGGGGGCUCAACCCCCGAACUGCAUUUGAAACUGUUGGUCUUGAGUAUCGGAGAGGCAGGCGGAAUUCCUAGUGUAGCGGUGAAAUGCGUAGAUAUUAGGAGGAACACCAGUGGUGAAGGCGGCCUGCUGGAUGACAACUGACGGUGAGGCGCGAAAGCGUGGGGAGCAAACAGG
rnacentral:rRNA from 1 species